AAAUCUGUUUUAUAUUAAAUCUAAGUGCCUAAAUCCAAGACAGGCCCGAUGGACAUUGUUUUUUUUACCCAAUUUAAUUUUGUUAUAACAUACAGGCCUGGGGAAAAGAACAUUAAAUCAAAUGCCCUUUCUAGAAGUUUUGUCUCCAGUCCAAAAGAAGAAUCUGAACCGGAUUAUAUUUUGGGUCAAUCCACUGAGGUUCCUGCUGUGAAUUAUUUGAUUAUCACCUCUCUAAGAUUUGGAGAAAGGUUGAAAAUUAAUUGUCCUAUGCAGUUGCUGCUCGAAAGAGGGCUUCUGACAGACAUUUUUAUUCUACCAAAAGGAUCCAAUCCUUUGAUGUGGUUGGUGCUACAUCCUUUGGAAUGAAUGCGUUUGCUGCUUGCAUUAAGAACAGCAGUUCUAUUGUAAAACUCGACUGAGAUGUAUCUCUUUGAAGUAGAGGUUUGCAGAAAGCAGGUUAUGUUCUGCAUGUGCCAAUCCAUAUACUGCGCUGUGCACUUGGUGAUUGGGAUAAUAUGUCUGAAGUGACAAUUGUGAAUGUGAACAGUUCAUUAAAGAGAGUGCCAAUGAAGUCAACACAGGCACCAUGUUGGGUGAUCUCAUUCCUGAGGUUUUUACUCUCUCUUUCAGCAUGAUCAUCAUCAACUGCCAGAAUAAUCACCCAGGUCCAUCCCAAAUGUUCUACCAGUUCUGCUAUAGCAAUGUGCUGAAUAUGAAUAUUUGAGCCAGUACUAAAAUAAUAUGGGUACAGUGUUCUGUCAUUCAAAACAGGGUCUGUGAAACCAUAACUGAUCUGAAAACACAAAAAUAAAGCUUUCAAAAGUGA